GGCCCAGUGGUGUACUGGUAACACAUCCUCUUUAUCUGCAUAGCAAAAGCACAGGUCAGAGGAAGCCCCCUGUUCGAUUCGGGGCUGGGCCA